rnacentral:lncRNA from 1 species
GCCUGAGUGUGGCUCGACCAACCUAACCAUCAUCAGAAAUACACAACUAAAUCAACAUAUUAUGAAUGAUAAUUUCGACAGCCAGAUGAGCAUCAGGUGUGUGGCACCUCCAAUGAUCAUCUAAACUGUUGGACUCAUUAUCAUCCAACUUAAUGGGAGGCUAUGAUCUAAUUAUCACCAUAAUUAUUUUAUUUUUAGGCAUCUAACAAUUUUAGAAGAUUUAAUUAGUUGAAUUGAGAGAAGAGAAAAAAGACUUGACUAGUUAAUCUUAAUCUUCCCACUGACUUCAUCAAGUC